rnacentral:rRNA from 1 species
UACGUAGGGGGCAAGCGUUGUCCGGACUUACUGGGCGUAAAGCGCGUGCAGGCGGAUUGGUAUGUGCCGUGUGAAAGCUCCCGGCUUGCCUGGGAGAGGUCGCGGUAGACAGCCGAUCUGGAGGCUCGGAGAGGUUCGUGGAAUUCCAGGUGUAGCGGUGAAAUGCGUAGAUAUCAGGAGGAACACCGAUGGCGAAGGCAGGUCUCUGGGCAUUAACUGACGCUGAGGAGCGAAAGCAUGGGGAGCGAACAGG